UGAAAAUGUUCCACGCUUAAGUGAGCCCACGCUGUCCUCUUAGGAGCCUCAGCCGGGUGUGCAGGAGGAUUCGGUGGAUUCGGGGGGGGGGGGGCAAAAUUCAAGAAUGGAUCGUUGGGUGAAUUCGUGAAAACUCAGCUUCUUUCCCAGAUCCCACCCUGAACAUGGACUUGCGAUUCUGUGAGAUGAUGUCACAACCUAAACAGAAAGAGAAGAGAGAGAGAGCUGAACAUGGACGUUCACAGUCUCUGCUGUCUGGCUGCAGAAACCCCGUGUAUCGCUACCUCGCGCUCCCGCUGCUCCCGUGAUACACUGCAUCCCGUCAUGCCAUGAACCUAUACAAUCCCUUCUUUCCCUAAGUUGUCUCUGCCUGCUAUUUGCCACAUCAGUGAAAAAUGAAAGUACAUAGAAAACGCAGUAUUGAGGCGCAGCGAUGUCACUGCGAGCAACCUGGCCACGUGAUCAUAGCUUUGUCACCGCGAGCAACCUGGCCGCAUGAUCAUAG
rnacentral:lncRNA from 1 species